CUUGUUUGUUUAUUGUCGUCAGUACAUAAUUAAGGCAAUCUGAAAUUGAGCCCUGGGUCUGGACUAAAGCUAAAAAAAACGAAGGCCAUACGGUAACCAAUAGUUGCUUAAAAUCAACAUUAUUUCCCCUGAUAGUUAGCUAUCUGAUUGUUAAUACUGUUAGAUAUCGACGAUUCAUCUUUUGUGGUUGAACAAAGGAUUUUUUUUUAAAGUUUAUUUUUUUUUGGCUUCAUAUAUAUUACUUCAUCAAAUUGUCUGUACGAAAUAAAAUGCCC
rnacentral:lncRNA from 1 species